CCUACGGGUGACAGCAGUGGGGAAUAUUGCACAAUGGGGGGAACCCUGAUGCAGCAACGCCGCGUGGGUGAAGAAGUACUCCGGUAUGUAAAGCCCUGUCAGCAGGGAAGAUAAUGACGGUACUUGAGGAGGAAGCCCCGGCUAACUACGUGCCAGCAGCCGCGGUAAUACGUAGGGGGCUAGCGUUAUCCGGAAUUACUGGGCGUAAAGGGUGCGUAGGUGGUUUCUUAUGUCAGAGGUGAAAGGCUACGGCUCAACCGUAGUAAGCCUUUGAAACUGGGGAACUUGAGUGCAGGAGAGGAGAGUGGAAUUCCUAGUGUAGCGGUGAAAUGCGUAGAUAUUAGGAGGAACACCAGUUGCGAAGGCGGCUCUCUGGACUGUAACUGACACUGAGGCACGAAAGCGUGGGGAGCAAACAGGAUUAGAUACCCGAGUAGUC
rnacentral:rRNA from 1 species